GCUGCGUGGGCCGCUACGGCGGGGCGCGGACAGGUGGGCUGGCGGGGGGCGGGCCGCCGCCGUGUGUAGGCAGCAGAGCGGCUGCGGAGCGGCAGCGGCAGCGUCGGGAGCCCCGGCCCCGCGAUAAAAGGGAAGGGGCUGGGCGGCGGGCGGUGCGUGUUGCGGCACUGGGGGGAGUGUGGCUGGGAAGGAAGGAAGGAGCGAGCCAACCGCCUCCCGCAGGAAUCCCGGGCAGGCGGUAGUAGCAGCAGCCGGGACGCGCGGCUCCCCCUGGCUGGGAGGCGAGUGAGCAUCGAGGAGCAGCCGCUGCCGCCUCAUCCUGCGGCAGCGGCCGGCGCUGCUCAGAGAGCGCAGGUGGCAGUGUAGAAGCCAAGAACAAAAACUGGCAGAAAUUAUAUUCUGUGUACGAGAGAAUGAGGAGUAUACUCAUGACUAAGCACAGGAACCUGGAAAACUACAGGAUUCCUAGGAAGCCGUGGAGGAUGGGGUGAACUCAGAGCUGGAGCUUGAGGAUUUUUGGAACACAUGAAUGGGAAGUUAUCCUGAUAAGAGAACGCACCGGCCAAGCACACCUCUCAAGUGGUAUUUAUCCCAGUGUUAUCUCAGGAAGUGGAUGCUUCUGUGCAUCUUUUAUUGCAUGAAAUCAGCUCUUUGGAAGCUGCUUCAGUUGGAUUUUUCUGUUCAAAGUCCUUUGAGAAGACUGAGAAUGCUGCAUCGUUUGGAAUUGUGAAACAUCUUCAUGCGCAUCAAACCUUAUUUAUUUUCUUUUAAAUGUCAGCUAGGCUUGAUAUUUUUCUUUUCUUUUUUUCUUUUUUUUUUUCCUCUCCUUUUUUUGUUUUGGGGGAUGGUGUCUCUGCAGUUAUUCUCUAAUGCAUUACAAAUAGUUGAUUGUAUUUGUUAGUUUUCAUCUGGAUGUUUCUUGCUGUUCCUGAUAGUUGAAGAUGUUGUGCACUCUAUAAUAAAAAUAAUAAUAAUUCUGAAGUCA
rnacentral:lncRNA from 1 species